rnacentral:lncRNA from 1 species
AGUCAGGGAGGGUGUGAGCUGCCGCCGAGGGUCCCACGCGGAACGCUGGGAGGGAGCAGGCAGGGAGCAAAGCGGCGGCGGGCGCGGCAGCUCUGUGGCACCUGGAGGGGUUUACUGUCCGGGCCACUUAAGGGAGAACUUUUGUCCAAGCAGGGCCAACUGCAUUUUAUUAGACGCCCACUGCGUGCAGGGCGCUCCGAGAGGCUGGGGCGAGGAAGGUUAGAACCGAGUCCGCUGCCUGCCGGGAACUUGGCGUCUUUCGGGCGAGGGAAGAGAAAGCAUUCCCACGCCGAUGGUUCCAGCAAAACCCCAGGAAUGCUCUGCUCCUGGUCUUGUAGUUGACACCUCCAUCCGGGACUCACCUGGUGGAGGAGAUCAGGUUACCUGCCGACUCCCGCUCUUUUCAGGUGCAGCCAAGGAUGGGGAGAUGAUACGUCUUAAAGGAUUAACAAGAUAAACCUUGGAGAGUAAUGUAUGAAGAGUUGUUCAUACGCUACUGUAUUUCGUUAUCUCAGGAGGAGAAAGAGAAAAGUUUUUAAAAAAUGUGUACCUUAUCCUUUGACAUUGUAACUGUACUGCUAGAAAUUUAUUUUUUAUUUUUUUGUUUUUAGACAGGGUCUCCCUCUGUCGCCCAGGCUGGAGUGCAGUGGUGCGAACACGGCUCACUGCAGUCUCAACUUCCGGGGCUCAGGUGAUCCUCCCACCUGAGCCUCUGGAGUAGCUGAGACCACAGUGUGCACCACUACGCCCCACUAAUUUUUGUAUUUUUAGUAGAGACAUGUUUAGUAGAGACGUUUAGGUUUUCCCAUGUUGCCCAGGCUGGUCACGAACUCCUGACCUCAAGCGAUCAGCCCGCCUCGGCCUCCCAAAGUGCUGGGAUUACAGACCUGAGCCACCGCACCGGCCCUAUUCUUGACAAAUAAUCGUACAGAAGAUGUUCUUUGCUAUAUUCCAUUAAUAACAAAAGGGGAAUGAGGGAAUAGCAUAAUAGUCCAGGAACCGCAUGGUUUUUUAUGCAGCCAUGUAACUAUUUUUAUGAAGAUCAUAUAAUAUGGAAGAAUGUAUAUGUAAUGCAAAGUUUAAAAACAGAAUAGAAGUUGUAUGCAUAUACAUGCGAAAGUAUCUAGCACAAUGUAAACUACUAAGGACAAUAGCGUGGGGGAUUUUUUAUGUGAUUCGUUAGUUUUGCUUUAGGCUAUUAUAACAUUAAUGCAAUUUUAAAUGUUUUGGAUUAAUAUAUUUUAAUCCUUAUUCCAUGCCAGUCAUUUCUUUUAAUACAUCAGUGAACUCACUUCUCCAGAUAGUUACCUGCGAGAACAUUUCAUCAGUUUGGAUACAGCCCUACAAUUAAAAGUAAUCCAAAAAAGUAUAUGAAGUUCUAGACAUCACACUAAAAAUACCACAGAUAGGCCGGGCACAGUGGCUCACGCCUGUAAUUCCAACACUUUGGGAGGCCGAGGUGGGCGGAUCAUUUGAGGUCAGGAGUUUGAGACCAGCCUGGCCAACAUGGUGAAACCCCGUCUGUACUAAAAAAAAAUACAAAAAAAUUAGCCGGGCCUGGUGGCGCAUGCCUGUGGUCCCAGCAAUUAGGGAGGCUGAGGCAAGAGAAUCGCUUGAACA